GAUGAAAUGACUGAAUUAGGUGAUAAAUUGUAAAUUUAUUUAUGGAAAUAAAAUUCCUUUCAUCA
rnacentral:tRNA from 2 species